AAGGGCACCACAAGAACGCGUGGAGCAUGUGGCUUAAUUUGACUCAACGCGGGAAAUCUUACCGGGUCCGGACACACUGAGGAUUGACAGAUAUACGCCAAAUAUAUCACGUUCGCGUGUAUUUUUGGCUCAAAGAUGCUAGUUCUUUCAUGAUUAUGUGAUAGGUGGUGCAUGGCCGUUCUUAGUUCGUGGAGUGAUCUGUCUGCUUAAUUGCGUAUCAAUAAUAGAGACCUAGUAUACGCGUAGACUCGCGUGGUAGUGACCCCCUCUUGCAGGCGCGUGUCGCACAUGCGUUAUACGCACUGGUCUCCGAUAGCAACGAACGUGACCGUAUUCUAUUGUUGCAGUGAAAUGUUACCACUUCGUUGGUACGACCCACUGCUUAGUACGCGCGUAUUUCGGUACGCGUCGUGCAUUAAACUAUAGAGACCGCUGUUUCUUCUUUAAACCAGAGGAAGGAUACGGCAAUAACAGGUCUGUGAUGCCCUCAGAUGUUCCGGGCUGCACACGUGCUACAAUGAUCAUUGCACUGUGCAUCUAACCCAAUGUGCGCGGACGCCGCGUGGCAUGUUGCCUUCGGGUUAUCAUGUCUGCGAUCGUGCGACCGCGCCGAACCUACUUCGAAAGUAAAAUUUCUCAGUGGGUAAUCCACUAGAAGUAAUGACUCGCAUAGACCAUGGCACACUAUAUGUACGCGCAGGUCUACCCGGCUCGCCUUUGUGUGAGUGCAGUGCGUAGCCUGUUGUUUCGUACGUGCCACUCCGUAUUAAUUCGUACGUGGGGAUAGAUCAUUGUUUAAUUGUUGGUCUCGGUCUUAACUAGGAAUGCCUUGUACGGGUCUCUGGUUCAACAUACCACCCGGAAUACGUCCCUGCCCUUUGUACACACCGCCCGUCGCUCUUACCGAUGGAUUAUACUAUGAAUCUAUAGGACUGCCAAAGCCCGCUCGCUCGCGAGCGGCUUAGUGGAAAUAUAUAUGAACAGUGUGAUCUAAAGGAAAGAGAAGUCGUAACAAGGCAUCGGUAGGUGAACCUGCAGAAGGAUCA
rnacentral:rRNA from 1 species